rnacentral:lncRNA from 1 species
ACAAAUUUGAACAUUUCCUCACUGAUUUCUACCCAGCAUUAAUAUCAACUUGACAGAUCAUUUCGAAUUCAUAUAAUCCUCAGAUUUGAGACACUUACUCAUGAGAAAAUUUCAAUUUAUGGCCUGAACAAUUUAUAGAAAAGGUACAAUAAAUUAAAGUGAUGAAUGGUUAUACUACCAAAUUAUAUGAAUCUGUUAUCACACCUAAAACUGGCCCCAACAUUAAAUCAUAAAUAGGCUCAAAUUGAUUUUCAUUUUAAAACUAAAUUCCCACUCCGAAGUCACUGACCUUUGCUUAACAUUUAGUAAAUGCAAAAGGUGAGUUUUAAACCAAAUCAAGCUAACAUCAAUAAUUACAGAACUCAUACGAUCGUAGGGAAAGCAUCAAUUUAGCUUAACAGUCUAGGGUUCAAACCAAGCUAAAACAGUCCUAGUUAUACAGAAACAAGCAGAUCUACCCAAACAGCACCAAAAUACACAACAAUGAACCCAACACCCCUUUAAAACUUUCAACAGCCCAAAAUUCCACCAAAACCAGUUUAAUUAGAAUUAGAACCACUCGGAAUCACCCAGAAAACUUCUGAAACUCCAGCAGGCAAACAAUGAACCGAAAAAUGUGACUUAAUAACUAGAGAUCUAAAAUUCUCCAAUGGAAUAGUAUAUUUUUUUUGGAUUUUGACGAUUUCUUUUUUUUUUUUUUGGAUUUUUGUAGAAGAUUUAAAAUUCUAAGAGAAAAUUUAAAAUUCUAGAUUGAAUUUGAAUCUGAAGCUAUAUGAUAUUUGGGGGAAAUUUUUUUAGGCUUUCAAACUUGUCUCCUAAAGCAGAAUGGCCUACCUUUUUAUAUGCAAGAA